GGCAGGAUGGCCGAAUGUUAAGCAAUAAACUGUAAAUUUAUUCAUGAGAUAAAAUCUCUCCUACC
rnacentral:tRNA from 1 species